AGAGUUUGAUCAUGGCUCAGGAUGAACGCUAGCGACAGGCUUAACACAUGCAAGUCGAGGGGCAGCAUGAUUUGUAGCAAUACAGAUUGAUGGCGACCGGCGCACGGGUGAGUAACGCGUAUGCAACUUACCGUAUCAGAGGGGGAUAGCCCGGNGAAAGUCGGAUUAAUACCCCAUAAAACAGGGGUCCCGCAUGGGAAUAUUUGUUAAAGAUUCAUCGCUGAUAGAUAGGCAUGCGUUCCAUUAGGCAGUUGGCGGGGUAACGGCCCACCAAACCGACGAUGGAUAGGGGUUCUGAGAGGAAGGUCCCCCACAUUGGUACUGAGACACGGACCAAACUCCUACGGGAGGCAGCA
rnacentral:rRNA from 1 species